rnacentral:rRNA from 1 species
UACAGAGGUCUCAAGCGUUGUUCGGAUUCAUUGGGCGUAAAGGGUGCGUAGGCGGCGCGGUAAGUCGGGUGUGAAAUCUCGGGGCUUAACUCCGAAACUGCAUUCGAUACUGCCGUGCUUGAGGACUGGAGAGGAGACUGGAAUUUACGGUGUAGCGGUGAAAUGCGUAGAUAUCAGGAGGAACACCAAUGGCGAAGGCAGCUCGCUGGGACGGUACUGACGCUGAGGCGCGAAAGCGUGGGGAGCAAACAGG